UGUUGGGUGAUGAAAAAACAGACGGAUUAACAUUGAUAUUUUUUAUACAUGAUAUCACAACCAGCUACUUCUGACAACA